UCUUUAAGCUUUUUUUUUUGCAAUCCGGGAAAGUUAUUAAGAUCAGUACAACAUGUGAUGAAAAAUGAGGGGCAUGCUGUCCUCUCAUUCAGGAAACGUUUUAAGUUGAGGAAGUGGGUCACAACCGUGUGUAAGGGUCUACCUUCAGACGCUGUUGAGAUUCAUCGUUUCUUUCUGACACUGGGGCUUUUUUGAGCUUUUUGAGCUAUUGGUCUCUUUCUUUGCUGGCUUUUCUCCCACUUCUUAUGGAGACUUCGGGUAGGCUUGCUUAAUAUAAAUGGUGCCAGAGAGGCGGGAAAGAGGAGUGAGUUGGGUGAAUAUGUAAAACAAACAAAAGUACAUGUGUUGUUUCUGCAGGAGACGCAUAGUGAUGUGGUGAAUGAAGUCGAUUGGGAGCUCUGGUGGAAAGGGGCAAGUGUGCUGAGCCAUGGAACAAAUGUUAGUGCAGGGGUGGCAGUCCUUUUUGCACCGGGUCUGGCCGUAAAAAGAGGAGACGAUGGUGUUCAGCGGGGACUGGAACUGCACAAUGGAUUUUUAUGAAAGACAGAAAUGGGGAGGAGCCUCAUUCAGGCUCAGUGGGGGCGUUAAGGGACAUCAUUAAUCAGUUUGACCUAGUGGAUCUUUGGAGAACUAGACAUCCUGACACAAGACCGUAUACAUGAGUGAAGGUCUUUGGGGCUAGGCUACCCUGGCCUUAUGACUCCCAAGUGGUGCAGCUGUCUAAGGAACAGCGUCUCAGUGACAGAGGCGUCACUACAGACACCCACGUUCAAAUCCAAACUGCAUUUAUAUCAAACUCCAAGGCAUAGUGAUUGGUCUCUGCCAUGUCUCUCACCAGCUCCUCUGUCAGAAACAACUUGAAGCACUCUGCCUCAGAUGGAAAUGGCAAGGGGCGUUGCACUCCAGACUGGGACUCAAAGCAAACAGCAGGGCCAGGAGGGGUGAAAUAACUGGCAGCCUUCCAGCUACCACAGAACUCCUGUACUUCAUCCACUAUCAUUCUGCCUCCAUCGCCACCAGCAUCUUCAAAGGGAACUGGGACUUCAUCAGUGGACAAGGGGUCUUCAGAUUCAGGGUUCUCAAUGGCUGGGGGGCAGCUCCUCACUGUCACAAUCUGAUUCCUGACUUUCAGACUCAUUGACAGAAUUUCCACAAGACAUUGCUAAUGCUACAGCUUAUCUCACUAGCUACAUACAUAACAACACUGAAUGGCUCAGAGUGGGAGGGAGAGGUUACGUGAUUGACUGCCUGAACGCGCCAUUUGUAUCAAAUCACUAUCAGAAAAUGUUUUUUUUUUUUUGUGGUAAUUAUUUAUAGAUUUACUGUUUUAUUCACAUGUUUUUCAAGUCCCUGCGAUAAAUCAUGCAUUCUGAUUCUUGUAUAGACUGUAAUGGGCACAUAGUAUGUGUGUAAAAUUAUUUUUUGAAGGCUGUACUGUUUAUGAUGAGCUAAGCUAAUUCCAACUAUGUGUGGAGCCAUGUUUGUUGACAUACAAUGCAUUCUGGGUUUCACGUAAUCGUCUGUCGGACCAAAGACGCUAUAAUAAAAUGAGGUGAGUAAGGGUUCACUCAUUUUUUGAGAACUUCAGGAAGUGAAUGGUGGGAUGUGAAUGGUGGUGGACGACACACCCCUUCAACAUGCAUAAUAUAAACAUACCAAACUCAUCUUGUCUUCUCUUUGGUUUCUUUGAGGAAACAAAGCAUGGCUGUGCGCUGAUGCUAAUCGUCGGAUUACUUUUGAUUUCUAGAAAGUGUUUUACUCAAUUAUUUUGAUCAAUGGUGAGCUCACCUGUGAUUAAUUAUAAAUAGUAAUUGCUAUUAGCUAAUUCAUAUUGUAGUUUAUGUCAGCCGAGAGUUAGAAAAUAUGGCCGCUUGUUGCCUACAUUUUUCCGGUUUGGAUGAUUGAGUUAUGCUAUAGAUACUUCUGUGAAUAUCUGAACACUGCAUCCAAAAAUAAACUGCUCACAUUCUGGACAUAACUUUGUAAGGACUACGUUUGUGUAAAUCGUUUCUGAAAAAAGUGUGGCCAGCUCAAAUACUGAUGGUUGCAUCAUUCGAAAUUGGCCUUUCUAAAUAAGCAUUCUAAUCACACGGGUUUGAUUGUACGCUUCAGGGACCACUGUAGAACGAUCACACCCUUGUGAUGGUACGUGUGAAAGGGUUAAGGAAAACAAAGUCAAGGUGUUGGAGUGGCCAUCACAAAGCCCUGACUUCAAUUCUAUAGAACAUUUGUAGGCAGGACCGAAAAAGCGUGUGCGAGCAAGGAGGCCUAGAAACCUGAUUCAGUUACACCAGCUCUGUCAGGAGGAAUGGGCCAAAAUUCACCCAACUUAAUGUUAAACACUUUAAAGGCAAUGCUACCAAAUACUAAGUGAGUGUAUGUAAACUUCUGACCCACUGGGAAUGUGAUGAAAUAAAAAAAUAAUUCUCUCUACUAAUUAUUCUGACAUUUCACAUUCUUAAAAUAAAAGUGGUGA